GGAUGUGUAACUUAAUCGGAAGAGUAGCGGUCUCUUAAACCGAAGGUUGCCGGUUCGAUUCCUGUCACAUCCA
rnacentral:tRNA from 1 species